AGAGUUUGAUCCUGGCUUAGGAUGAACGCUAGCUACAGGCUUAACACAUGCAAGUCGAGGGGUAGCAGGGUAGCAAUACCGCUGACGACCGCGCACGGGUGAGUAACACGUAUCCAACCUUCCCAUAACUCAGGGAUAGCCUUUCGAAAGAAAGAUUAAUACCUGAUAGUACUUUUUCAAGGCAUCUUGAGAAAGUUAAAGAUUUAUUGGUUAUGGAUGGGGAUGCGUUCCAUUAGAUAGUUGGCGAGGUAACGGCUCACCAAGUCUUCGAUGGAUAGGGGUUCUGAGAGGAAGGUCCCCCACAUUGGUACUGAGACACGGACCAAACUCCUACGGAAGGCAGCAGUGAGGAAUAUUGGUCAAUGGGCGAGAGCCUGAACCAGCCAAGUAGCGUGAAGGAAUGAAGGUCCUAUGGAUUGUAAACUUCUUUUAUAGUAGAAUAAAGUGAUCCACGUGUGGAUUUUUGUAUGUAUACUAUGAAUAAGGAUCGGCUAACUCCGUGCCAGCCGCCGC
rnacentral:rRNA from 1 species